rnacentral:snRNA from 1 species
AUCUUUACCUGGCAAGGGAGACAGCAUGAUCAGGAAGGUGGUUUUCCCAGAGUGAGGUUCAUCCACUGCAGUCCAGGUGUCUGCUGACCCCUGUGAUUUCCCCCAGUGCAGGAAACUCAGCUGAAUAUUCUGUGGUAUGC